AAAAAAGCUUUGACCGGGAAAAGUAAACAAAUGACAAACUGACAGGGAGUUUGCGCCAUGACUGGAAGCGCGAAUGGGUAACGCAUUGUUGAAGUUCACCCCGCGAGCUGCCGCUUAGACCAGUAUUUGCUGUAAAGGCGCGCCGGCAACGGACCGUUAUUCCGAUUUGAGUGAUCAUACAAUUUGUAUGAUAAAUCAGGGUGGUACCGCGAAAUAAUCCUCGUCCCUUUU
rnacentral:ncRNA from 1 species